GGUCGGCCGGACGGUCGCGUUGCGCGCGUCGCACCGAGGAACGUCCGGGCUCCACAGGGCAGGGCGGUGGGUAACACCCACCCGGAGCGAUCCGCGAGACAGUGCCACAGAGAGCAGACCGCCGGGCGUGCCCGGUAAGGGUGAAAGGGCGGUGUAAGAGACCACCGGGGUCGUGGUGACACGACCCGCACGGCAAACCUCGCCCGGAGCAAGGCCAGACAGGGGAUGAUGACGCGGCCCGCCGAGUCCCCGGGUAGGCCGCUGGAGCGUCACGGCAACGUGACGCCGAGAGAGAUGACCGUCGAUGGGGCGCGAGCCCCGGAACAGAACCCGGCGUACAGGCCGGCCCA
rnacentral:RNase_P_RNA from 1 species